rnacentral:rRNA from 1 species
GCAUAUCAAUAAGCGGAGGAAAAGAAACCAACAGGGAUUGCCCCAGUAACGGCGAGUGAAGCGGCAACAGCUCAAAUUUGAAAUCUGGCCCUUGGGUCCGAGUUGUAAUUUGUAGAGGAUGCUUUUGGCGAGGUGCCUUCCGAGUUCCCUGGAACGGGACGCCAUAGAGGGUGAGAGCCCCGUCUGGUCGGACACCGAGCCUCUGUAAAGCUCCUUCGACGAGUCGAGUAGUUUGGGAAUGCUGCUCAAAAUGGGAGGUAUAUGUCUUCUAAAGCUAAAUAUUGGCCAGAGACCGAUAGCGCACAAGUAGAGUGAUCGAAAGAUGAAAAGCACUUUGAAAAGAGGGUUAAAAAGUACGUGAAAUUGUUGAAAGGGAAGCGCCUAUGACCAGACUUGGGCCCGGUGAAUCAUCCAGCGUUCUCGCUGGUGCACUUUGCCGGGCACAGGCCAGCAUCAGUUUGGCGCGGGGGAAAAAGGCUUUGGGAAUGUGGCUCCCUCGGGAGUGUUAUAGCCCAUUGUGUAAUACCCUGCGCCGGACUGAGGUACGCGCAUUGCAAGGAUGCUGGCGUAAUGGUCAUCAGCGACCCGUCUUGAAACACGGACCAAGGAGUCGUCUUCGUAUGCGAGUGUUCGGGUGUCAAACCCCUACGCGUAAUGAAAGUGAACGCAGGUGAGAGCUUCGGCGCAUCAUCGACCGAUCCUGAUGUUCUCGGAUGGAUUUGAGUAAGAGCAUACGGGGCCGGACCCGAAAGAAGGUGAACUAUGCCUGUAUAGGGUGAAGCCAGAGGAAACUCUGGUGGAGGCUCGCAGCGGUUCUGACGUGCGAAUCGAUCGUCAAAUAUGGGCAUGGGGGCGAAAGACUAAUCGAACCUUCUAGUAGCUGGUUUCCGCCGA